AAUUAAUAUGAAUUAAUGAAUACAAUCAAUUAUUACAUUCUGAUGUUUAAUUUUCUUUUCUUGGGUAACAACCUGAAGAGAACUGUGAAGUAGUUAUGGAGAAUGUUGUACCUGGCACGCAGGAAAGACUAGCUCAGUGUGAAAAGGAAACAUCUGAUGAGAAUUAAAUAGAAAUCCUGAGUGAGUCAGAUGAAGGAGCCAAAGAAGAGAAGGAGGGAAAAAA